rnacentral:rRNA from 1 species
AAUAGAUACCCGGGUAGUCCACGCCGUAAACGGUGGGCACUAGGUGUGGGCGACAUUCCACGUCGUCCGUGCCGCAGCUAACGCAUUAAGUGCCCCGCCUGGGGAGUACGGCCGCAAGGCUAAAAACUCAAAGGAAUUGACGGGGGCCCGCACAAGCGGCGGAGCAUGUGGCUUAAUUCGACGCAACGCGAAGAACCUUACCAAGGCUUGACAUACACCGGAAACGUCCAGAGAUGGGCGCCCCCUUGUGGUCGGUGUACAGGUGGUGCAUGGCUGUCGUCAGCUCGUGUCGUGAGAUGUUGGGUUAAGUCCCGCAACGAGCGCAACCCUUGUCCCGUGUUGCCAGCAGGCCCUUGUGGUGCUGGGGACUCACGGGAGACCGCCGGGGUCAACUCGGAGGAAGGUGGGGACGACGUCAAGUCAUCAUGCCCCUUAUGUCUUGGGCUGCACACGUGCUACAAUGGCCGGUACAAUGAGCUGCGAUACCGCGAGGUGGAGCGAAUCUCAAAAAAGCCGGUCUCAGUUCGGGAUUGGGGGUCUGCGUAACCG